CCCACAAUCCUGGUUUGUCCUUGAAGUAUGAGGCUGGUGGUUGGAGUAACUGUUUUUCUGACCUUGGGACUCAGCACACCCUGGCACAUUCCUUCCUGCUCCUCAAAGGAGAUCUUCCUUCCUCUGUAGCCAUGCUCUCAGCGACUCUUCUGCUACUUGGAAUGCUCUUCACAGCAAGAGGAACUGGAGCCCAGUUAGUGACCCAGCCUGACGGUCACAUCAACGUCUCUGAAGGAAACCGUCUGGAGCUGAGAUGCAACUAUUCUUAUGGUGGAUCUAUUUAUCUCUUCUGGUAUGUCCAGUACCCAAGGCAAGGCCUCCAGGUUCUACUGAAGUAUUUAUCAGGACCCACCCGGGUUAAAGGCAUCAAAGGCUUCGAGGCUGAAUUCAAGAAGGAUGAAAAGUCCUUCCACCUGAAGAAAGCUUCAGCCCAUGGGAGUGACUCUGCCAAGUACUUCUGUGCUCUGUGUGACACAGUGCCUGAGUCUGCAGAGGGAGCUGAACAAAAACCUUCUCAGACAUUGGACAGAGCAGGAUGGAAGAUUAAACGCCAUGACAGUCCCUGCAGAACGCCGCAGCUCACUGCAGUUUCCUCUUCGCAGACCACAGACUCGGGCACUUACUUCUGCGCUGCGCAGCGGAGCGCUCCCCAGGCACCUGCGGCCUCUACACGAACCCUCCUGGGGCUCAGCCCCUCCUCCAGCCACAGUCACACCGUGAGGCUGUUACCAGAUACCCAGGAAUGGAAUUGA